rnacentral:rRNA from 1 species
GACGAACGCUGGCGGCGUGCUUAACACAUGCAAGUCGAGCGGUAAGGCCCUUUCGGGGUACGACGAGCGGCGAACGGGUGAGUAACACGUGGGUGACCUGCCCUCAGCUCUGGGAGUAAGCCUGGGAAACCGGGUCUAAUACUGGAUAUGACUCCAUGACGCAUGUUGUGGGGUGGAAAGCCUUGUGCGGCUGAGGAUGGGCCCGCGGCCUAUCAGCUUGUUGGUGGGGUGANGGCCUACCAAGGCGACGACGGGUAGCCGGCCUGAGAGGGCGACCGGCCACACUGGGACUGAGACACGGCCCAGACUCCUACGGGAGGCAGCAGUGGGGAAGUUUUGGACAAUGGGGGCAACCCUGAUCCAGCCAUGCCGCGUGUGUGAAGAA